AUUGAACGCUGGCGGCAUGCCUUACACAUGCAAGUCGAACGGUAACAGGUCUUCGGAUGCUGACGAGCGGCGAACGGGUGAGUAAUACAUCGGAACGUGCCUAGUAGUGGGGGAUAACUACUCGAAAGAGUGGCUAAUACCGCAUGAGAUCUACGGAUGAAAGCAGGGGAUCGCAAGACCUUGUGCUACUAGAGCGGCCGAUGGCAGAUUAGGUAGUUGGUGGGAUAAAAGCUUACCAAGCCGACGAUCUGUAGCUGGUCUGAGAGGACGAUCAGCCACAGUGGGACUGAGACACGGCCCAGACUCCUACGGGAGGCAGCAGUGGGGAAUUUUGGACAAUGGGCGCAAGCCUGAUCCAGCAAUGCCGCGUGCAGGAUGAAGGCCUUCGGGUUGUAAACUGCUUUUGUACGGAACGAAAAGCCCUGGGUUAAUACCCUGGGGUCAUGACGGUACCGUAAGAAUAAGCACCGGCUAACUACGUGCCAGCCGCCGCCGUAAGAC
rnacentral:rRNA from 1 species